rnacentral:tRNA from 1 species
GAAACUUUAAGUUAAAAAAACUAUAAAUUUUCAAAAUUUAAAUUAGAUAGUUUUAUCUAAGUUUCAAUAAAAAUAUUAAUUAUA